rnacentral:rRNA from 1 species
UACGUAGGGUGCGAGCGUUUGUCCGGAAUUACUGGGCGUAAAGAGCUCGUAGGUGGUUUGUCGCGUUGUCCGUGAAAACUCACAGCUCAACUGUGGGCGUGCGGGCGAUACGGGCAGACUGGAGUACUGCAGGGGAGACUGGAAUUCCUGGUGUAGCGGUGGAAUGCGCAGAUAUCAGGAGGAACACCGGUGGCGAAGGCGGGUCUCUGGGCAGUAACUGACGCUGAGGAGCGAAAGCGUGGGGAGCGAACAGG